GCGCGAAAACUUUACAAUGCUGGCAACAGCGAUAAGGGAACCUCGAGUGCCAGGUUACAAAUCUGGCUGUCGAGAUGCCUAAAAAGCAUUUCAUAGCAAGGGCCGGGCAAGACCGGUGCCAGCCGCCGCGGUAACACCGGCGGCUCGAGUGGUAACCGUUAUUAUUGGGUCUAAAGGGUCUGUAGCCGGCCGGAUAAGUCUCUUGAGAAAUCUGGCAGCUUAACUGUCAGGCUUUCAGGAGAUACUGUCUGGCUCGAGGCCGGGAGAGGUGAGAGGUACUUCGAGGGGUAGGGUGAAAUCUUGUAAUCCUUGAAGGACCACCAGUGGCGAAGGCGUCUCACCAGAACGGACCUGACGGCAAGGGACGAAAGCUAGGGGCACGAACCGGAUUAGAGACCCCGG
rnacentral:rRNA from 1 species